GACGAAGAACGUAGCGAAAUGCGAUAAGUAAUGUGAAUUGCAGAAUUCAGUGAAUCAUCGAAUCUUUGAACGCACCUUGCACCCUUUGGUAUUCCGAAGGGUAUGCUCGUUUGAGUGUCAUUGUACUCUCACACUUCCGAUCGUUUGGAUCGGGAGCGGUGGACUUGGGUGUUGCUGCUUUACUGUGGCUCACCUUAAAUGCAUUAGUGCACCUUUCGGUUGGACAUAGUACGGCGUGAUAAGUGUCUUCGCCGGCACCUCACAGAGGGUGGCUGAUCGGGAGCUCUGUGCUUCAAACCGUCCUCGGACAACAGCUGACGACUUGACCUCAAAUCGAGUAGGACUACCCGCUGAACUUAAGCAUAUCAAUAAGCGGAGGA
rnacentral:misc_RNA from 1 species